rnacentral:rRNA from 1 species
UACGAGGGGGGCAAGCGUUGUUCGGAAUUAUUGGGCGUAAAGGGCGCGUAGGCGGUGCGGUAAGUCACCUGUGAAAACUCUGGGCUCAACUCAGAGCCUGCAGGCGAAACUGCCGUGCUUGAGUGUGGGAGAGGUGCGUGGAAUUCCCGGUGUAGCGGUGAAAUGCGUAGAUAUCAGGAAGAACACCUAUGGCGAAGGCAGCUCUCUGGGCCUUACCUGACGCUGAGGAGCGAAAGCGUGGGGAGCGAACAGG